rnacentral:rRNA from 1 species
GAAUAUUGGACAAUGGGCGAAAGCCUGAUCCAGCCAUGCCGCGUGUGUGAAGAAGGUCUUCGGAUUGUAAAGCACUUUAUGUUGGGAGGAAGGGGCUGAAGCUAAUACCUUCAAUCUUUGAAGUUACUAACAGAAUAAGCACGGGUUAACUCUGUUCCACCAGCCGCGGAAAUACAGAGGGUGAAAGCGUUAAUCGGAAUUACUGGGCGUAAAGCGCGCGUAGGUGGUUCAGUAAGAUGGAAGUGAAAUCCCCGGGCUUAACCUGGGAACUGCUUUCAUAACUGCUAAGCUAGAGUACGGUAGAGGGUAGUGGAAUUUCCUGUGUAGCGGUGAAAUGCGUAGAUAUAGGAAGGAACACCAGUGGCGAAGGCGACUACCUGGACUGAUACUGACACUGAGGUGCGAAAGCGUGGGGAGCGAACA